CAAGAAUUUUGUGCACUGGGCCUCUAGUUGUCUUAUAAAUGUCAUACUAUUCAAUGUUCCUCUCCCUUUAAAAAUCAAUAAGAAUAUUUUUAAAGAGCAAACAAAUAUACCCCAAAUAAUGACACUAUUAGACAUUAACAAAGCUUAUUUCAAAAAGUGAGCUAUAAAAUCUAAAUAUCCCUUUUCACAAAUAGAAAAGAGAAAUGGAAUAAAAAUCUAAAUGAUGAAGACAAAGACCUGAGAGGACAAUGUUCAAGGGAUAACCUUCCAAAGAGCAGAAUUAAGGUUGAAUCAAGAGGAAUAUUUAUUGUGAUUAUUGUGUCCCUUCUCCACUGUUAUUGUAAGAGAGUGGAGAGGCCACUUCUAGACUAGGAAGAACCACUUCUAGACUAGGAAGAAGACCCAACCACACCUGGAGACUCUGGAGAUUCAACUGAAUGCAAUGACUGGAUGGGAGCCUACUUGCACCUAUAGAAUUCUCUGGAAAAAAGGUACUACGAUUUUAUGAAGUUUACUCAGAUUUUGUAGCCCUAAAGCUUUGAAAUGGCAUCCAGUUCCAAGUCUCCUUUUAUUAGUGAUGAUGAUAUCGCUAAAUAUGUCAGUUCUUGCUGUGAAGAUGACGAUUUUGUGGAAGAUAUUGGAGAAGGGUAUCCCUCUGGAAGUGAUCAAGAAUGUCCCAUCAAAUCAGAAUCGGAAAGUGAUUGCAGUGACGUGUUUGUCCCUCUGAAACAUAAACGAGUCCCAGUAAUAAUUGAAAGUUCAGACAGUUACAGCACAUGUGAAAAUGUUGAAGAUUUACACAAUUCUAGUUUUCCUGUAUUUAUUGAAACACAACCUGGCCAAGAUUUAUAUGUGCAGUCUAGUCUUUCUUUCCUAGAAUCACUGGGUCCGAAGCAUGCUCCUCCCCAGGAUGCCAAACCUAUAGAAUAUUUUGACAUGUUUUUCACUUUGGCUCUGUGGAAUCUAAUGAUGGCUGAAACUAAUAGGUAUGGACAUCAUUUUUUGCGUUCUCAGCAGCAAGGAUCACCCAGUUCUAGAGUCAGACAAUGGAGGCCUGUAAACGUCCUUGAAAUGAAAGCAUUUGUGGCUGUGCUGUUGGAAAUGGGAAUUACACAAAGGCCUACCAUAUUCUCAUACUGGGAUAGGAAUAGUAGAGCCAUUCCAUGGUUUGGGAACGUGUUCUCAAGGAAUAGAUUUCAACUGAUAUUAAAAUUUUUUCAUCUUGUUGACAAUGAAAAACUGUUUCCACCAGGUCAUCAGAAUUAUGACCCUGCUCUAAAUUUAUCCCCCUUGUUGAGCAUGCAAAUAGGUUGUUCAGUUUUCAUUACCCCACCAGCACUUAUCCAUUGAUGAGUCCCUAAUACAAUAUCUUCGAAAUAAGAAGCACCACAAGUGGGGGAUAAAGUGUUGAAUGUUGUGUGA